ensembl:lncRNA
GCUUGACUUUUUCCAUCAUUUCUUCUGUUACAGCCUAACUAUAAAAUGGAUAAGAGUAUGAGUAAGUAAGAGUAUGGGUAAGACAGUUUUAGUGUGUGUAGACAGUUUUAAUGUAUAUAGACAGUUUUAGUGUAUAUAGACAGUGUUAGUGUUUAUUGACAGUUUGUGUGUAUAGACAGUUUCUUCACUCACUCACUCACUCACUCACUGUAGUGUGUAUAUUGUGUAGUUUGUAUAUUGUGUAGUGUGUAUUUUACUGUAGUGUGUAUAUUGUGUAGUGUGUAUAUUGUGUGUGUAUAUUGUGUAGUGUGUAUAUUGUGUAGUGUGUAUACUGUAGUGUGUAUAUUGUGUAGUGUGUAUACUGUAGUGUGUAUAUUGUGUAGUGUGUAUUUUACUGUAGUGUGUAUAUUGUGUAGUGUGUAUUGUACUGUAGUGUGUAUAUUGUGUAGUGUGUCUGUAGUGUGUAUAUUGUGUAGUGUGUAUAUUGUGUAGUGUGUAUAUUGUGUAGUGUGUAUACUGUAGUGUGUAUAUUGUGUAGUGUGUAUAUUGUGUAGUGUGUAUACUGUAGUGUGUAUAUACUGUAGUGUGUAUAUUGUGUAGUGUGUAUUUUACUGUAGUGUGUAUAUUGUGUAGUGUGUAUAUUGUGUAGUGUGUAUACUGUAGUGUGUAUAUUGUGUAGUGUGUAUUUUACUGUAGUGUGUAUUUGUGUAGUGUGUAUAUUGUGUAGUGUGUAUACUGUAGUGUGUAUAUUAUGUAGUGUUGUGUAUACUGUAGUGUGUAUAUUGUGUAGUGUGUAUACUGUAGUGUGUAUAUUGUGUAGUGUGUAUACUGUAGUGUGUAUAUUGUGUAGUGUGUAUUUUACUGUAGUGUGUAUAUUGUGUAGUGUGUAUAUUGUGUAGUGUGUAUUUUGUAGUGUGUAUAUUGUGUAGUGUGUAUAUUGUGUAGUGUGUAUAUUGUGUAGUGUGUACUGUAGUGUGUAUAUUGUGUAGUGUGUAUACUGUAGUGUGUAUAUUAUGUAGUGUGUAUUUUAUUGUGUAGUGUGUAUAUUGUGUAGUGUGUAUACUGUAGUGUGUAUAUUAUGUAUUGUGUAUAUUGUGUAGUGUGUAUACUGUAGUGUGUAUAUUAUGUAGUGUGUAUUUUACUGUAGUGUGUAUUUUACUGUAGUGUGUAUUUUACUGUAGUGUGUGUAUAUUGUGUAGUGUGUAUUUUACUGUAGUGUGUAUAUUGUGUAGUGUGUAUUUUACUGUAGUGCAUUCGGAAAGUAUUCAGACCGCUUGACUUUUUCCAUCAUUUCUUCUGUUACAGCCUAACUAUAAAAUGGAUAAGAGUAUGAGUCUUUAUUUUACACUACUGGGGAACCUAGAGGCCAGAGUUUGCGGCCUGGGCUUCAUUGCCAAUGAGAGUCAACAAUGUGAUGAUAUAGAUGAGUGUAAAGAGUGGGACAGUACCCCACCCUGUGGAAGUAAAGCCACGUGUUACAAUACAUAUGGAAGCUUCUACUGUCACUGUCUACCUGGGUUCAGAUCCACAACGACUUUCAAGUUUACUCCUCUCACUGGGGAGUGUAAUGACCUCGAUGAGUGCAAGGGAAGACUACGGGUUUGUCCCAGCAACGCCAUUUGCCUCAACACCAUUGGGAGCUACCACUGCCUGUGCCAACCUGGGUUCAGAUUCUCUAAUCACACUGUGAAGAACUGAUGGAAAUUCCAAUAUCAAGUUUUCUGAUGAAUUUACCAAUGAUUUUGUCACGUCUGCUGCUGCUCCCCCUCUCUGACGCUCGAGGUUGCCUGGCGGCUCAUCAUUACUCACACCUCUCACCAUCGUUACGCGCCCCAGUGCUUCAUCGGACUCACCUGGACUCCAUCACGUCAUUGAUUAUCUACCCUAUAUCUGUCACCCCCUCCAGUUAAUUUUCCGCGUCUGCAUUGAUGUUGUUUUGUUUCUCCUGUCCUGUUAUUUACCAUGAUGCCCUAGGAACAGUGGGUUAACUGCCUUGUUCAGGGGCAGAACAACAUGUAUAUUUAUCUUUCAGCUCCAGGUAUUCGAACUAGCAACCAUUUGGUUAUUGUCCAAAUGCUCUAACCACUAGGCUACUACCGCCCCUUAGGAUACCUAUCUCCCUGCUGUUAACCUCUCUUGGGUAGGGGGCAGUAUUUUCACCUCCUGAUGUAAAGCAUGCCCAGAGUAAAUUGCCUGUUACUCAGGCCCAGAAUUUAGGAUAUGCAUAUAAUUAGUAGAUUUGGAUAGAAAACACUUUAAAGUUUCCAAAACUGUUAAAAUAAUAUGCCUGCAAGUAUAACAGAACUGAUAUGGCAGGCGAAAACCUGAGAAAAAUCCAUCCAGGAAGUGGAAUUGUUUUCAUGUGGCUGUUUUUCAACUCAAUACCAAUAGAGAAUCCAAUGGGUUAGGAAAAAAAAAACUCAGGCUCAAACGCAGUCAAAACAGGCUGACAAAAAAAUCCAAAUUGUAUCCGUAAAGUUCAUAGAAACAUGUCAAACGAUGUUAAUUUUCAAUCCUCAGGUUGUUUUUAGCCUAAAUGAUCUAUAAUAUUUCAACCGGACAAUAACAUCGUCAAUUUAGGUAAACAAGAAAUGCACUCUCUCGGGAUUGCGCAUGAAAAAGUUCUGCGACAGGGUAGGGUCCACUCAUUCAGACUGGUGUUACUCCCACAUUUAUAAGAAUACAAGCCUGAAACGAUUUCUAAAGACGGUUGACAUCUAGUGGAAGGCAUAGGAACUGCAAAUGGAGUCCUAAAUCAAUGGAUACUGUAAUGGCAUUGAAUAGAAAACUACAAAAUCCCCCCCAAAACUACUUCCUGAAUGGAUUUUUCUCAUGUUUUCGCCUGCCAAAUCAGUUCUCUUUUACUAAGAGACACUAUUUUAACAGUUUUGGAAACUUUAGAGUGUUUUCUAUCCAAAUCUACCAGUUAUAUGCAUAUCAUAUCUUCUGGGCCCGAGUAGCAGGCUGUUUAAUUAUGGGCAUGCUUUUCAUCCAAAAUUCUGAAUGCUGCCCCCUACCCUGGAGAGGUUGAGAAAUGUACUGAAAACCCCAGUGUAAACCUUGUACACAAAAUGUUUGAAAUGUUUGAAACGUCUUUUAAUAUUGAUUAUGAAGUAGAGGGAAAGAAAGGGGAAAUAAACACUCACUUAAUAGGGUUGAAUGACCUCCGACCUCUAUUCUGACUUUCUGGUGAGGCCUAAUCACCCUCACUAGAAAGGCUAGAGACAUUGGGUGAGAUUUAAAUGUAAGAUGUAAACACUGAUAAUUAGUAAGAAGGUUAUAAAUUAAAUCAGAUGGGUCACAUACACAUGUUUUAUCAAUAGUCCUAUGUGUGAUUCAGACCAUGAGGAGGAGAGAGAGAGAGAGUGCUGCCCCUGAAUGAGGGAAACCUGUCUCCAGUCCAAAUUAUGGGAUACAAUUAUUUCCUUAUGGAGUUAUCAAGGCAUGUCAUUUGAUUGUAUUUGUUAUUCUGAUUUGUUUAUUUUUUACUUAAACGGCAGUGUUGUUGUUGUUGUUUUGGACGCAUAAAACACGAUGUGAGUCAUGUGUCAAAAGGGAAGAAGUGCAUUGUGGUUGUUGUUCUUGGUUGUUGUUUGAAUUGUGGUUUUUGUUUUGUUUGUUGUAUGAUGUUUUGUUUGUUUUAUUUUUGUCUUGCUUCAAAAAAAAAUCUCUCCAGAUUGGUUCUGCUGUAUGGUCGGGAUUUCUCCCUAAGGGUUAGCCCUCUACCAAACCUGACCCUGUAACUCUGCAGUGAGGUCGUCAAUGUUACAGGGGAGAAUAAGCCAAUUUGAUAAAAUGGUUUUAACAGUGUGUUGUUAUUCUAUUUGACAUUUGUCUUAGACAUUUCUAUUAAGAAUAUUGGCAGUGGUAAUAAUUUGUUAUUCAGUAAAUAGUUUGUCUGGUUUCAGGCUUUUAUUUUGAAAAACGAUGUGUUAAAAGCCAUUUUAACAAUUAAAACAAUUUUAACAAUAGUUAUCACAGUGUAAUACAUGGAAAGGAGGGAAAGUGAGGGAAAAUGUUGCAGUCUGAAGAGGUAGCAUUGAAUUGUACACAGCAUCUCCUCCCACUCUAUCUUGGUUCGUGCAGGUGACUGUGACCUCCUCCUCAGACCAAUUGACAGUACGCCCAGAACAUUGUUCUGGGUUCCAAAAGGAGUAUCUCAGUUUCAAGGUCCCAGAUUUGAGAGAAGAAACCUUGUUAGUUAUUAGUCAGUCAGUCACUUCCAGGAACCAACUUAGAUGAUGAAUAAUGAAUCAUGUAAAUCAUGCCUAUAUGAAUUGUUUGGGUAGCCGUAUAUUAGAGAACUAACGGGACUGUCCCGGCAGAGCUCCUGACCGAUGUGUACUAUGUUGCAUUAAGUUUGUUGGAACCUCUCCAGCUUUCUGAUAAUAAAGAAUUAAUCACUUAAGUUUGA